GCAGGAUUAAACCAUGUCAGGCAAAUAAGGAAACGGUGAUGCUGCCAGGAGAGGGAAGAACGAUACUCUCAUUCUUAUCUUAGGCUGCCAGCUGUACCAUACCACUUUCUCCUCAUUCUGCUUGCUAAUGUUUGAAUCACCAGGUUUCAGAUGCUACCAUGAUGCCAACCUGACUUCCCUGGGCAGACAACCCCACCAGUAUGUCCUGGAUCCCCAACUCUCCAGAGCCCUGCUCCACUAGUAAAAGAGAGAGACAGGCUGGGAGUAUGGAUCCACCUGCCAAUGCCCAGGUUCAGCAGAGAAGCAACUACAGAAGCCAGACCUUCCACCUUCUGCAUCCCAUAAUGAUCCCGGGUUCAUUCUCCCAAAGGGCUAAAGAAUAGGAAAGCUUUCAAGGGAGGGGAUGAGAGUUCUGGUGGUGGGAAUUGCGUGGAAAUGUGCCCCUCUUACCCUAUGGUCUUAUCAAUAUCUUCAUUAUAUAAAUUUAAAAAAAAAUCUAAAAAAAGUGUUUCACCCUGCUCGGAAUCACACUAAGGAUUUUCAAAUACUAUGGUUUAUGUAUAAUCCAUAGGAUUUAGGGAAGGGAAGCUCAUUUUAAUUGAUCUGCAUUUGCUGAUGCUGUGGUGAGGGUUAUAACUGAGUAGACAUCUUGUAGUUUAAGAUAUGGCUUAAUGGGAUGGAUGAUGGUAAACCUGGGUGAGCACACACAUUACAGUGCACAAAGACCCAGGUUCAAGCCUCUCCUCCCCACUUGCAGGGGGGAAACUGCAUGAGUAGUUAGACAGUGCUGGGGUUGUCUCUCUGUCUCUCUCCCUUUCAAUCUCUCUCUGUCUUAUAAAGUAAAGUAAUAGAACUUAAAAUAUAUAUGGCUUAAAUGAAUAAAAUGUAAGCUAUAAAUGAAGUGGGUCUUAAAGUACAAGAAUAUGAUAUGAGAAGAAAAUAGUGAGAAACUUAAUAACAUGCUUAUCAAAUAUAGAUGGAAUUGUAGAACAAG